UGUUGCCACAAUAGAUCUGAUGACGGGAACUUACCGAGAAGCUCGCGCCACGACAAAGUCAUUCGAUCGGAAUGACACAAUAGUACAUUCAACACUAAUCCAUACAUGCCGACGAUUUCUCGCCGGCGCAAUGUGCAUUCAACGAUUUCGUGCUCAUUGUAUCUGCAAGUCGCACUACUUAUCGCAGCUAGCUGCGAUCUUCAUCGAACCAGGACUCUAGUGAUCCACCACGUAGAGUUGUACAAUUUCGCCAAGCAGCGCCGAAGCACCACGAGACUAGGUUAUAUUUCGAUGUCCAAAGCAAGAGUUUGUCGGCGCCAACACUUCGAGGCCGUGUUGAUCUUUAAUGCUCGCAAGCGAGAACGCUCGCUGACGUGACCGCCUAUGUGCACGGAAGAGCACACUCCGACAGACGCCACCUAGCAACCAGACAGUUCCGUAACAUUCAAAACCAAACAUUCGUUCAAUCCAUUCAAUUCAGUCAAAUUACAGUACGUAAUAGGUUGAUCGACAAUGAUCCGCGGUCAGGUUCUCCUAAUCGCACCUUGUUACGACUUUUGCCCGGUUCAAGCCACUGCGAUUAAUGCGGUUCCCAUCAGCGAAGAGAAACUCAACGCCGAAAGUCCCCGCAUUUCUCGAGGCAACUCAGUCCCGGGCAGCGACGGGCGGUGUGUACAAAGGGCAGGGACGUAAUCAGCAUGAGCUAAUGACUCAUACUUACUGGGAAUUCCUCGUUCAAGAGAAAUAAUUUCAAUCCUCUAUUCCAAACACGAAAAGCUUUCAAAAGAUUACCCAGACCUUUCGGCCAAGGUUAAAAACGCUUGCUGCACUUUCCAGUGUAGCGCGCGUGCAGCCCCGAACAUCUAAGGGCAUCACAGACCUGUUAUUACUCAAUCUCAUGCGGUUGAACACCGCUUAUCCCUCUAAGAAGUAGAUACGACCAAACUAUCGCACCACUAGUUAGCAGGUUAGAGUCUCGUUCGUUAUCGGAAUAAACCAGACAGAUCAAUCCACGAACUAAGAACGGCCAUGCACCACCAACCACCAAAUCAAGAAAGAACUAUCAAUCUGUCAAUCAUUAUAGUGUCCGGUCCGGGUGAGAUUUCCCGUGUUGAGUCAAAUUAAGCCGCAGGCUCCACUCCUGGUGGUGCCCUUCCGUCAAUUCCUUUAAGUUUCAGUAGAUGGUCCUUGCGGACGUUGACUAUCUCUGAUUUCUGCCCAGUGCUCUGAAUGUUAACGUGGAGUAAUCUGCUUAAGCGCGGGUAAACGGCGGGAGUAACUAUGACUCUCUUAAGGUAGCCAAAUGCCUCGUCAUCUAAUUAGUGACGCGCAUGAAUGGAUUAACGAGAUUCCCACUGUCCCUAUCUACUAUCUAGCGAAACCACAGCCAAGGGAACGGGCUUGGAAAAAACAGCGGGGAAAGAAGACCCUGUUGAGUUUGACUCUAGUUUGACUCUGUGACGAGUCUUGAGAGACGUAGUAUAAGUGGGAGACUUCGGUCGCAAUUGAAAUACCACUACUUUCAUCGAUUCUUUACUUAUUCGGUAAUGCGAGGAUUGGAGCUCGUUCUCCUUCCUUCUGGUGUUAAGUCUCGGCACUCGGUGCCUUGACGACUCGGACCGAAGACAGUGUCAGGCCGGGAGUUUGACUGGGGCGGUACAUCUAUCAAAACGUAACGUAGGUGUCCUAAGGUGUGCUCAGAGGGGACGGAAACCUCUCGUAGAGCAAAAGGGCAAAAGCCCACUUGAUCUUGAUUUUCAGUACUAAUACAGACCGCGAAAGCGUGGCCUAUCGAUCCUUAAAACCUUGAUGGUUUCAAGUUUGAGGUGUCAGAAAAAUUACCACAGGGAUAACUGGCUUGUGGCAGCCAAGCGUCCAUAGCGACGUUGCUUUUUGAUCCUUCGAUGUCGGCUCUUCCUAUCAUUGCGAAGCAGAAUUCGCCAAGCGUUGGAUUGUUCACCCUCUAAUAGGGAACGUGAGCUGGGUUUAGACCGUCGUGAGACAGGUUAGUUUUACCCUACUGUUGACUGGUUGUUGCAAUAGUAAUCCUACUUAGUACGAGAGGAACCGUAGGUUCGGACCACUGGUUCAUGCGGCUGGUCGAUAGACCAAUGCUGCGAAGCUACCAUCUGUUUGAUUAUAACUGAAAGCCUCUAAGUUAGAAUCGGGGCUAAUAAAGGUAACUAUGUUUUGGCUCCCCGGUGUCGGGAGGCCUUUGUUAAGUAUGCCGCAAGGCUACUGCGUAUGCCCAUAUCUAUGACCUUAUCUGUUCGGGGAAUCCGUUCAGGUUGUCACAACGGAUCAUUCCGUUUCAAUGUCGGGGCGCGAGAUCUCUUGU
rnacentral:rRNA from 1 species